rnacentral:lncRNA from 1 species
GCGGGUCACCAAAACGGUCAGAAAAAGAUAAGAAGGAAAUGUGGUACACACAACGACAACGUUGGUGGGGCCACAAAAACGUGGCAAUGGUCCGCUACGGAGUAAGUGGAAUCGGUUCGCCGCAUAUGAACGGUGGUGCUUUUAGCAUGCCCAAUUUUCUGGGUCCCACCACCUCAAAGAUUCCUUAUUGACAUUUCUUCACAGGGGUUAAUUAAUGGGGAGUAGCUGAACAUUUCACCAUAACUACAAUUGGAUCACUGAACUUUAAUUUAGAACAAUCAAGCCUGUAAUCACGCCGCUCGUUCGGAUUCCGUUAACAAGCCUACUGGAGUUCGCUGAAAUGUUCAUUGAAUUAGACAAACAUUAACUUGUCGAUCCGGUCAGCAUAUUAAUAACUCUAGAAAUCAUUGAAAUUUCACCAUGUUGCAAUCGAGUUACUAAAUUUUUACCCUAUAUGCAAUUUAGUUAUUGAACUUGCAUCAGUUAUAUGAUGUUGAAAUUUAGUACUUCAUUGCAUGCGAAUAUGCUGUUUAUCUUUGAUGGGGUCUGAACUUUGAUCUAGUUAAAAUAAAUAUUUAUUAGAUCAUUCCGUUAAUACUCAUGUCUGAAGCAUCACCCUUGAGAUCCAUUGGAAUAAAAGGCCGUCAUACUUUACAAAGACAUGAUGAUGCUUGAACCCAUGCCACCCUUGCUACAACUCUUUACCUACCAAUCGUAGCGCAACACUUGGCAAUUGUGCGUCAGUACCUCUCAUUCAAUCAAUUACAAUCAAUGAUCAAUUAAACUAUUUUGCCCGAAAUUUUUUGACAAAAUGGUUGGCAUCCUCUUACAUGCGCAUUGGUCCCGCGUGAAUAAAAAAAGUCCAAAAAAAGUGGACGACAGCUAUUAUGUCAAAAAAAUUCGGGCAGUAUAGACAUAAUAAUGACCCGUUGAGACUAUUCUCAACAACCAAUCAAAGCAGCCAAAACUUGGAUAAGUGGCACACAUUUUUAGAAUGAUAAUGUAGCUAACAAGACUGUCAUGAAAAUCUCUCAAAAAACCUUGAUCCCGAACUCAGAAAACAGCCAAACGAACACCAGUUUACCUCUGCUCAACCCAAACCUCUAACCCUCACUUUGGUUGCUCCAAGAACUCUCAAACCCCAAAAAGAGGAAUGGGUGGUGGUGGUAAUAAGAAGAAGACGAGGCAAUAAUGGUGGGAUUCACUCCAACAAGCCCCCAAGCCGACUACCCCUCACUCUCAACCCUCUCUUCCACAUGCGCGCACACACACCAUAAACGACCGUUGGGAGGAGAUGGAUAAUUAGAUCACCUAAUUGGGCCAACAAUAAGUAAAUGAGCUACUUAAGAACCAAGGCAAACUUAAUAACAAUUGGGUUAAGACUCACAUAUCCAUCGACAACAAAACCAAUCCCAACUUGGGCCUUCCAAAAGUGUCGGCCGUAUUCGAGUCGAGCCAAGUUCAAGGUGUUGAUAAGUUAUCCAAAACUGUUUUAAAUCAUCCCGCUUUUUAUUUUUUUUUAAAUCAUCCCGGAUUUA